GGAUCGGCCCGCGUUAGAUUAGAUAGUUGGUGGGGUAAUGGCUUACCAAGUCUACGAUCUAUAGCUGGUCUGAGAGGAUGAUCAGCCACACUGGGACUGAGACACGGGCCCANGACUCNCUACGGCGAGGCAGCAGUGGGGAAUCUUGCACAAUGGGCGAAAGCCUGAUGCAGCCAUUGCCCGCGNUUGAACUGAAAUGAAGGCCUUAGGGNUUUGUUAAANCACAUUCCUUUNUUCCCCAAUNNCAGGGGGACGAAUAAUGACGUGUACCUUGAACGCAAAGAACAGCCCCGUGCUAACUUCGUGCCAGCAGCCGCGGUAAUACGAAGGGGGCUAGCGUUGUUCGGAAUUAAUCGGGCUUAAAGCGCACGUAGCGGACUUUUAAGUCUGGGGUGAAAGCCCGGAGCUCAACUCCGGAACUGCCUUGGAUACUGGGAGUCUUGAGGAUGGAAGAGGUAAGUGGAAUACCGAGUGUAGAGGUGAAAUUCGUAGAUAUUCGGUGGAACACCAGUGGCGAAGGCGACUUACUGGUCCAUUUCUGACGCUGAGGUGCGAAAGUGUGGGGAGCAAACAGGAUUAGAUACCCUGGUAGUCCACACCGUAAACGAUGAGAGCUAGUUGUUGGCAGGUUUACCUGUCGGUGACGCAGCUAACGCAUUAAGCUCUCCGCCUGGGGAGUACGGCCGCAAGGUUAAAACUCAAAGAAAUUGACGGGGGCCCGCACAAGCGGUGGAGCAUGUGGUUUAAUUCGAAGCAACGCGCAGAACCUUACCCACGUUUGACAUGCCUGGAUGUGAUCAGAGAUGUGAUCGUUCCUUCGGGACCAGUGCACAGGUGCUGCAUGGCUGUCGUCAGCUCGUGUCGUGAGAUGUUGGGUUAAGUCCCGCAACGAGCGCAACCCUCACCCUUAGUUGCUAACAGGUUUGGCUGAGAACUCUAAGGGAACUGCCCGUGGCAAGCGGGAGGAAGGUGGGGAUGACGUCAAGUCCUCAUGGCCCUUACGCGUGGGGCUACACACGUGCUACAAUGGCAGUGACAAUGGG
rnacentral:rRNA from 1 species